rnacentral:rRNA from 1 species
UAGGGAAUCUUCGGCAAUGGGGGGAACCCUGACCGAGCAACGCCGCGUGAGUGAAGAAGGUUUUCGGAUCGUAAAGCUCUGUUGUUAAGGAAGAACGAGUGUGAGAAUGGAAAGUUCAUGCUGUGACGGUACUUAACCAGAAAGGGACGGCUAACUACGUGCCAGCAGCCGCGGUAAUACGUAGGUCCCGAGCGUUGUCCGGAUUUAUUGGGCGUAAAGCGAGCGCAGGCGGUUAGAAAAGUCUGAAGUGAAAGGCAGUGGCUCAACCAUUGUGAGAUUUGGUAAAUGAUUCACUUGAGUGCAGAAGGGGAGGGUGGAAUUCCAUGUGUAGAGGGGAAAUGCAUAGAUAUAUGGAGGAACACCAGUGGCGAAGGCGACUCUCUGGUCUGUAACUGACGCUGAGGCGCGAAAGCGUGGGUAGCAAAGAGG